rnacentral:hammerhead_ribozyme from 1 species
AUCCAGCUGACGAGUCCCAAGCAGGACGAAAAGCGUAUCUUGGAU